rnacentral:rRNA from 1 species
AUGGCUUUCCUUGUGGCAUACUUCGGAUGCAUCAACGAGGCACAGGCCUUCCUCUACCUCUACAGGGCCGGCGCCAAUCUCCUCCUCGCCGUCAUGCUCGUCCAGCACGACCUCUACCAUACCAAGGAGGAGGCACUGGACCCUGAAUCCGACAGGACCAAGGCCGCCCUCGAGUGGGCGGCCACCAGCGCAGGCCACUGUUCGCCCGCCACCUUUGCUCAGGUCAUGGCAAUCCGGCUCAAACAGGGCGACCUCGACCUCUUCAACAAGCAUCUGUUUUCGGCCAAUGACCCUCUCACGGCUGAGGAUGCCCGGGAAAUCCACCGUGGGUUGCACAUGAUGAUGACCCCGAUGUGUGUUGCCGACAUUAGCAACACCAAAGAUGGGCUGGUUGUCCAUGUCCGUCACAACCUCGACGACAGCGCUAUCUGGUCCGAGACAAAGCCCCUUGUCUCUUCUAGUGCAGCAGCUGACACCAGGAUCACCUCCACCACCUUCCGCUGCGAUGGGACCGCCAUCACGUCUCUGCAGUCCGGACUGCCUAGCAAGCUGCAAGAUUGCCUGACGAUAGCAGAUUUCCAGAAACACAUUCUCAUCGCCUCGUGCGGUGGCGACAACUGCGAUUACCUACGGUCUCUCAAGAUGUACCUCUAUGGCAUGAUUCACAACCUGUACGUCCAGGCCUUCAAGAUGCUGCACGCACCCUCGGGCUCCAUCAUGCGCAGCAUCCUCAUGGCCGGCCAUUGCUAUGGCCCCUGUGACCCUCUCUCCAACAUCAUCAUUAACUCAGUCUGGCAUGAGACGUGUGGCUCCAUUCUCCCGGCUUCUGACCGCAUGAUGUUGAAAGAGUACAAUGACAUCCUGGACCCCCUAUCUCUGCUCCGCCUAGUUGUUCGUUCCCUCGAGGGGCUUGCAAACCUUGCCUUGUCCGUCGACCCCCAAUCCUCAAUUGCUCGUGCUCUGGAGAAACUCUGCAGUGCAAGAUGCGACCUUGUUGACAUGUUAUCGUCUGCACCAAAGAUUGAUGAAAUCCCCUUCCACGAGGCGGCCAUGGCUGCUAGACAGCCGCUGCCCCUUCAGCUAGGUGAAUUUCACCGGAUGCUGCUGCUCGAUCCCGAAGGCCGAAAACUCCUGGUCUCACAUAUAACCAAGGCGCAAACCAGCGGUGUUGUGUUGUUCUAUGAUAAAAUCAGAGAAGAUGUUGUUGCGCUGUGGCGUGAUUACAAAACAGCACCCUGGUAUCAACCCCCCGUGCAAGCUCCUGCUCCUGAACUUAGUGUAGAGGCCUUGAGGCGGGUAUCAAGCGUGAGAUCACAGUAUGAGCAUUGGAGGAGCUGGCUGCGUUCAAAGAUUGAACAGGUGCUCAAGGAUUACACGGACCAUCAUUUUUUGGGACCAAAGUAUGAACUUGAUUUUAUAAUUGGUAUGGAUCAAAGACGGGAAGGCUGCGCCCCCUUCACUGAUACGUGCUACCUAGUGAACUUCAUGGCAACUUCUGAUGAGAAUGUUCCGAGGACCCUAUUUUACGCCGAGUUGUGGUGCGUAACACGCAAGCCAAGGACAGCAGCAUUCUGCUGCCCUCUGCCCUAUGCAUAUGCGGGACGUUGCUACUAUGACAUGAUUUGCGCAAGGAAGAUUGUGUAUCCAGAUGACGCCAAGUACAUCCGUGAUGACGACAUCACCCAUAAGGGAACCCGCAGCGUGGAUGGCAUGCUAGAGAUGGACCUCGUGCACUUCAGUUCCGAGUUGGAUGUGGAGCUCGCGCGGAAUUUGAACAUGUCGGAUUCACAGGAUGAGCCGAAUGAGCCCAGUUCAGAUUCAUGGGCGCCGGAUGAGAGCAGUCCAGAUUCAGAUUCAGAGGAUGAGUCUGUGUCUCGGGAUGAGCGAGUCUUCUCUCCUCCGUGGCUACGGCUAGAUAGGAGUGUGUGA